AUGACUUUCAUCACCAUCUUCAUCUGGACACUGACCUGCUGCUGUUUUAAAGAGGCCAGAGGUCAGGUGACUGUGACACAGACUCCUGUUCUGAAAUCUGCUCUUCCAGGAGACACAGUCACUAUCAACUGUAAAACCAGCUCUGCAGUUUAUUUUGAUGGAACAUAUCACUGCCUAGCCUGGUACCAACACAAACCUGGAGAGGCUCCUAAACUCCUGAUUUAUGUUGCAAGCACCCGUCAGUCUGGAGUUCCAGAUCGUUUCAGUGGCAGUGGAUCUUGGACUGACUUCACUGUGACCAUCAGUAACUUCCAGACUGAAGAUGCAGGAGAUUAUUACUGUCAGAGUUUCCAUAGGAUCAGUGGCAAAGAUGUUUUCACACAGUGA